rnacentral:rRNA from 1 species
GUACUAAGGUAGCAUAAUAACUAGCCUUUUAAUUAAAGGAUAGAAUGAAAGAACUAACGAGCUAAUAAUUCAUCCUUUAUAAUAUAAAAUAAAUUAUCAAUAAGGUAAAAAGACCUUAAAAUAAAAGGAAGACGACAAGACCCUGAUGAACUUUAACAAUAUGUUAGGCUGGGGCAGCCACAAAAUUACACCUUACCCAAAUAACAAAAAUAGUUAAGGAAAAUCCAACCUUAAAACAAGUUACCACAGGGAUAACAGCACAAUUCCCUUCAAGAGCACUAAUCUAAAAAGGAGAUUAUGACCUCGAUGUUGAAUUACCUUAAAUAUAUAAGCAACCUUAUAUCACAAUGGUCUGUUCGACCAAAAACAGGUACAUGAU